GCCAUCGGCAUAGAUGAGCAUCAUGAGCAUUGCAGUUGCGCGCUUGUAUUCUCAGCAGUUGAAUUGGAGUUAGUGAUGUGUGUGUCAUCGCGUUUUCUUAAGAGAAAAACAUCUUUUGGAUUUUCCUUCAUUGGAUAACUAAAAGUGGAAGUGCACAUUUUUACACAAAAA